UGAGUUUGAUCAUGGCUCAGAUUGAACGCUGGCGGCAGGCCUAACACAUGCAAGUCGAACGGUAACAUUUCUAGCUUGCUAGAAGAUGACGAGUGGCGGACGGGUGAGUAAUGCUUGGGAACUUGCCUUUGCGAGGGGGAUAACAGUUGGAAACGACUGCUAAUACCGCAUAAUGUCUUCGGACCAAACGGGGCUUCGGCUCCGGCGCAAAGAGAGGCCCAAGUGAGAUUAGCUAGUUGGUAAGGUAACGGCUUACCAAGGCGACGAUCUCUAGCUGUUCUGAGAGGAAGAUCAGCCACACUGGGACUGAGACACGGCCCAGACUCCUACGGGAGGCAGCAGUGGGGAAUAUAGCACAAUGGGGGAAACCCUGAUGCAGCCAUGCCGCGUGUGUGAAGAAGGCCUUCGGGUUGUAAAGCACUUUCAGUUGUGAGGAAAAGUUAGUAGUUAAUACCUGCUAGCCGUGACGUUAACAACAGAAGAAGCACCGGCUAACUCCGUGCCAGCAGCCGCGGUAAUACGGAGGGUGCGGGCGUUAAUCGGAAUUACUGGGCGUAAAGCGCACGCA
rnacentral:rRNA from 1 species